rnacentral:rRNA from 1 species
CCUACGGGACGCAGCAGUGAGGAAUAUUGGUCAAUGGGCGCGAGCCUGACCCAGCCAAGUCGCGUGAGGGAGGACGGCCCUACGGGUUGUACACCUCUUUUGCCGGGGGGCAACGGGCGCCACGUGUGGCGUCACUGAGAGUACCCGGAGAAAAAGCAUCGGCGAACUCCGUGCCAGCAGCCGCGGUAAUACGUAGGAUGCGAGCGUUAUCGGGAUUUAUUGGGUUUAAAGGGUGCGUAGGCGGAUCGUUAAGUCAGUGGUCAAAUUGAGGGGCUCAACCUCUUCCCGCCAUUGAAACUGGCGUUCGUGAGUGGAAGAGAAGUAUGCGGAAUGCGUGGUGGAGCGGGGAAAUGCAUAGAGAUCACGCAGAACCCCGAUUGCGAAGGCAGCAUGCCGGCUUCCGACUGACGCUGAAGCACGAAAGCGUGGGGAUCGAACAGGAUUAGAUACCCGAGUAGUC